rnacentral:misc_RNA from 1 species
GUGAAUAUAGCGCAUCUCUUCGGAGAGCGUGACCUCCACUUUCAACUCUGUGCAUUUUUUGGCGAGGGAACGAGACGAAGCGACGCAAGUUGCAGACUCUCGCCUCUUGCGGCUCAUUUUAAACACUAGUUAAAGUAUGUAACGAAAUAUCGAAACAAAAAA